GGGAUUAUAGCUCAGUUGGUUUAGAGCACCUGCCUUACAAGCAGGGGGUCGUAGGUUCGAAUCCUACUAAUCCCA
rnacentral:tRNA from 3 species